rnacentral:tRNA from 8 species
GGAAGUGUGGCCGAGCGGUUGAAGGCACCGGUCUUGAAAACCGGCGAGGGGAAACCCUCCCAGAGUUCGAAUCUCUGCGCUUCCGCCA